CCCCAUAAAAAGUUUUUUUGUCAAUUUUUUGUUUGAUUUAGUAAUUUUUGUUUUACCGAAAAAAUAAUUACCACCUACAAUGACAGUUAGGAUAUAAAUAGGCCAAAUAAAUGUCCUUUUUAACCACAAAAGCUCUUUGCGAUAAAAUGAUUUUUAGCGGGCUAGGGGGUUUUCCUUUCCUUCCCCAGGUACCCCAUUGUUUUUUAUCACCCCACUUUACUAUUUUUUACUUUAAUUUAUUGAAUGAUUUAAUUGAUUUUAAGGUAACCAUGUAUCAAAAACAGAUAUUUUACAGCUUUGCCUACGUUUUCUGAUAAUGUAAUUUGUUUUAGGUUAAGACUGUUUAGUUACAGGCAUAGGCGUCAAAUUCCGGGUUGCCGGGUUGGCGAAAUACGUAUGGCCACCCCGGUUUUGGGUUGGGCAAUGUUUGUAUUUUUUCCAAGUAUAGCGUAAAAAAACACUCGUACUAUCAGUAAACGUAAAUCAGGGCACGCGUUCGCAGAGAGCCUGCUCUUGCCUGUUUCUUUUAUAAAAAUGAUAGAUUGCUUUAUGAGCACGUGUUUGCAUGAGCACUCUUACGCUCUCACUGGUUUCUUUUUUAAAAACGAGAGAACGCUAAUGAGCACGUGUUCGCAUGGAGCACGCUCUAGCCUGUUUUUUUUUACAUAGUAAAGUAAAGAAUGACAUGCCAAAUAUAUGCGACACAACAGCAAUUCAAUAAUACAUGGAUAUUUUUCAAUAGUUACAAUUUACAGGUUUAUUGUUUUCGUCAUAAUAGCUAUUAAGAAGUAUUUGCAUUUUUACGUGGAUUCGCUAGAAAUCUGGUUAAAUUUGUCCAAUUAUUGUUAAAACGAGAGUAAGCGAAUGCCUUUUAUACGAUCUUAUAGCAUGCAUUGGUUAUGGUUUAACUAGAGUAUUGCACGUUACGCAGCACGUUAAUCCAGUCCUGGACACUCACUUAAAAGUAGGUCGGCAACCACUUGUCGGCGAUAUUGCCGACGAUGAAGAAACGCGGCCGAACGCUAGCACUCGCAUCAUAAAAUACUACAUAUGGCCUUUUGCCGCGUGUCGCUUCUACCGUCUGCGUGUUAUUAAAUCUGUUAGCGGGGCGAUUCUUGAAUUAAUAAAGGUUUCUUACUACCGCACUGACCAAAUCAAGAAUGAAGUCGAACAACUUCAGAAAGUGAUGGUAGAUCGUAAAUAUUAGUUCGUAGGUUGAGAAACACGAGCUUACUAGCACAACUUACGAAUCUGCAACACAUGUGGUUUAUUUACAAGACGUGAAGUGAACAACUACGUUUGGUAAAACAGCAAAAAAGGUUAAAAACCGAGAAAUUCUUCAUCUGAAGAGGACGACCACACUUCUUCAUUUUCAGAAGCGUCUGUUGUUUCCUGUUCUAGGAGCAACGACGGAGUGCUGCUCGUACAUGCUUUUGCCAAUUUUGCAGGGUGGUUAAUACCUUGUAGCCUUCUUAUUCCUUUUCUUUCCGAGCCAUCUAAAUGCUGCCCAAUGAAGUUAUCUACCGCAUGCUCAUACCGUUCAGGUGAAUAGUCGCAUCGCAAUCGUAAAAUGUUUUCGAUGGUAUUGUGUUUUAAAGACUGUCUCUCUUUUGCGAAACACGCGCCAUAGAAAGGAAAAAAUACGCUCGCAUUCAAUGAACUCUCUGUCAUAUUUACGUCUAGUCCACGUUUAUCUCUGACGCGAUAAAACACUUCAUUUAUUGGUUGUGCACACGAAUUUAUAUUCUAUUUUACGCGGUAAAUUAAAACUAACACUACAUUAUUAAAAACACGUAUCUAAAUUAAUAUAAACAGAUGAAACAUUGUUGCAGAUUUACGCAUGUUAAUGUAACGAUUAUUUACGUCAGAAUACCUUUGAUAAACCAUUACGAUUGUCCCAUCACAAACGAGAUUGUUGGUAAACAAUCGUGUUUUAUUUGCUCCCAUACGAUCUGUAGUUUUUGUAUGAUUUCUGUUUCUGAUGAUUAGUUUAAAUCAGUGCUUCCCAAACUAUGGUAUGCGAAGGCCUCCCAGGUGGUACGCGAGCACCUUAUUAAGUUCACACCAAACGAUCGCAAAUGAUCUUUU